AGGAAGCGAAGGUGUUCUUGACGUCUGGACCACGUGGUUUACUUUAAGAUUUGCAGUAAUAACCCAUCAACUACCGCGGUCCAGUCGUCAAGAACACCUUUGCUUUCA
rnacentral:pre_miRNA from 1 species